GGAUGAACGCUGGCGGCGUGCCUAACACAUGCAAGUCGAACGGAGUCCAGCCUUUAAGACCUUCGGGUCAAAGAGGGGAAGACUGAGUGGCGGACGGGUGAGUAACACGUGGGCAACCUGGCUCAUAGAGGGGGAUAACAGAGAGAAAUUUCUGCUAAUACCGCAUAAGCACACACUGCCGCAUGGCAGAGGGUGAAAAGAGAAUCGCUAUGAGAUGGACCCGCGUCUGAUUAGCCAGUUGGCAGGGUAAGAGCCUACCAAAGCGACGAUCAGUAGCCGAUCUGAGAGGAUGAACGGCCACAUUGGGACUGAGACACGGCCCAAACUCCUACGGGAGGCAGCAGUGGGGGAUAUUGCACAAUGGGGGGAACCCUGAUGCAGCGACGCCGCGUGAGUGAAGAAGUAUUUCGGGAUGUAAAGCUCUAUCAGCAGGGAAGAUAAUGACAGUACCUGAAGAAGAAGCCCCGGCUAACUACGUG
rnacentral:rRNA from 1 species